rnacentral:lncRNA from 1 species
CACAUUAAUAGGUAUUUUCCUAGUCCCUCUUUCAAUAAUAGCAAUUUCAUCUUCUUCCUCACAUAUAGUAGGCAAAGAUAUAUUCACAUCUUCCCUCAACUUAGCAUCAUUCAAUAUCUUCUCUGUUUUUUUGGACUUUGUCCCUUGAAUCGCCUCAACACACUUAGCUUUUUGUUCUUCACUUGCUUUAGGACAUGAUGCCACACCUUUUCCCUUGAUUCCUGCUACGUGAGAUUUAUGCCUAGAGAUUCC